GGCUUGUCCGAAGGUAGUGAGUUAUCUCAAUUGAUUGUUCACAGCUAGUUACAGAUCGAACUCCUUGUUCUACUUUUCCCCCCCUUUUUUAGACUUGACUAGUCUAAA
rnacentral:Y_RNA from 3 species